GACAGGUUUCCAGGCACAGCUCCCGCUUGAAUCCUCAUUGGAGGACUCUGACAAAUUGAUUGCUCCCACGGAGUUUGCUAGGCUCCGUGGGUCCGGUUAAGUUGGGUUCGAAAAGUUUCCCCGGAGUUACUUAGGCUCCGUGGGUCUGAAGUUACAGGAAAGGGAUACGUCUAGGAUUGCGCUUGGUGAUGGGGAGAGGCGAGAAGCGAAAGCUCUGUAGGUUCGGUUCUAUUGCCUCUAUUGCCUGCUUAGGGGAGGCGCGUCGGGUCCGCGAGGGUCCGCAGCGCUUGGAGAUCUUCACACAGAAUCUCUCUCGUCCUCCCACCUCCGGCUUGGGCGGAAACUACCCAAGCCUUUUGUACGGCUAGCAAGCCAAUUGCUAGCCGCCACGUGUGCCUAUAUUAGGAAUGGGCCAAUAACGUGGCGCAAAUCCUAAUACAAAUGGCGGGAACUUCUUUACAGCGUGUAUCACUACGAUGCAAAAGAAAUGCACACUGCAAAAAAGCUGUAAUCUGGCGGGAAAUCCCCCGUUGCACCAGAGUUCUCUCUUGCAGCAGAGAACUCUACCGUGCAAAGAAAGCAACAAAUUGGCGGGAAAUAAUUUAGCGAUGCCGAAGUGCGCACACAAACAAAAAAUAACAACUUUGGGUUGUGACAUUACCUACAGGUUAACAGGGGUGAUUCUCCCUAUUUCAAGCCAGUGUUGAGAGGUACUCGGGUACUGUGGUGGUAGAGUCUGGAUAAACAGAAGUUUAUUCACAUUGUAGGAGGUUGAUGGCGUGCCACCUGGAACUGAGUUGUCUCCCUAUAAAUGGUACUGUUUUGCCUUUCCAAAAAAUCACCUUCCACACCUUUGAUGUUAUGGGAGAUGGAUGUUGAAACACUCUUGGGGAAACAAAAAUGUUAGGGGCUCACAGAAUCGGCCGGUCUUUGCUGGGCUCCACUAUCCCCAUCCCCUGCCCUAACCACUGCAGAUGUUCCAGGAGCAUUGGUACUGGCCUCUGAUGUUGAUACUCUGGUCUCGGUCUUAGGGAUCACUGAUAGGAAUCUCUCUUCUCCUUCAGCUGCUUGCCCCGUUCUUACCUGCAUGGGUCCCAAGUCAGCCACCUUUGUUUCUAGUACCACCCUUACCUUCACGGUCAGGACAGACUCACUCCCUCUUGGAGAGUAAACUUGUCCAUGUCUUCGCUUUGUUCAAGGUUCUCAUAGUGGUUAACUUCACCCCCCCAGGAUGGGACUCACUGGCCGAGCAGUUUCCUCCAUUCCUGUGCCACCUCUCCCUUGCAGAGCAGCCUCCUUGCUGGAUCUGUCCAGACUAAAUAAGUCCUGGUCCCUCAGCCUUACCUCACAAGUCAUGUGCCCCAGCACUCUAACCAUUUCUAUUGCCCUCCACUGGACUCUCUCUAAUUUGUCUACAUCCUUCACGUAGCAAGGGGUCCCAAACUGGACACAGUACUCCAGAGGAGGCCUUACCUGUGCUGAACAGAGGGGUAUGAACACUUCCUUUGAUCUUCUGUCAGUGCUCCUACCAAAGCAGCCCAGUUUACCAUUUGCCUUCUUCUCAACAAGGACUUGUCAAUAGAUACGCAAGAUGUGUGGGACAGAGCUAAGACUAGAACUCUGAUUUCCAGUCCUGUUCCUGGACCAUUGUAAUUUAUCUAGAAAACAUUUGUUGAGAACAUUGAAGACAUGUAGGUGCGGAUCUCCGUGAAUCGCACCAUCCCAGGCUGAGAGAGCCAGAUGUGUCCUUACAUUGUCAUCACGAACGAAAAGGCCAAGAAGAUUGUGAUCAUGGACGUCACCAUCCCAUUUGGGAACUGGCGCAAGGCUUCACUGACGCCUGGGCUCACAAGCGGGAGAAGUAUACUCUGCUGGUCAACAUCCUGAGGGGCCAUGGCUAUGAUGUGAUGGUCGAUGCGCUCAUCAUGGGAACACUUAGAGCAUGGGAUCCCAGCAACGAGAGCGUCCUGCAUGCCUGCUGUAUCUCCCGCCGCUAUGCCAAGCUGAUGCACUGGCUCAUGGUGUCCGACAUGAUCCACUGGUCCCGUGACAUCUAUGUGAAGCACAUCAUGGGCCACCACCAAAACACCAACCCUGCCAGGCUGACUGCCACUGGACUGGACCCAUAGGGGACCACCUGAACCUCCCUCUGCACCUGAUGGACUUUGAGAAGAAUCUUCAAAAACGGACCACCCCGCUCCACCCAAAGAGGACCCCCAUGAUGAGACUCUACAUGGACUGAGAAACUUUCUCCAACCUACUCCUUUCACCAUUGCAGACCAUUGUAUGGGUUUGUGUGUAUCUAUCUUCUUUCUCUCUCAGCAUCAUGAAUUCCAUCCCUCCCGUUCAUAGUUUCAUAGUUGGUAGGGUCGAAAGGGACCUGAGCAGAUCAUCAAGUCCAACCCCCUGUCACGGGCAGGAAAGAAUGCUGGGGUCAAAUGAUCCCGGCUAGGUGAUUAUCUAGCCUCCUUUUGAAGACCCAAAGGGUAGAAGUGAGCACCUGAAUCUACUCUCGGUCAACUAUGGCCGUUAAUCCUCGUUACUCUUGGUAGUGCUUGGGGGAACAGGGACUCUUCCAUAGCCUGCUGGUCCCCCUUGGCCAGUUUGUACAUGGCCACCAGAUCCCCUCUCGGCCUUCUCUUGUGGAGGCUGAACAGGUUCAGGUCCCAUAGUCUCCGCUCAUAGGGCCUGCCUUGCUGCCCCCUGAUCAUGUGAGUGGCCCUCCUCUGGACCCUCUCGAUGUUGUCCACAUCCCUCCUGAAGUGUGGCGCCAAGAACUGGAUGCAGUACUCCAACUGUGGCCUGACCAGUGUUGUAUAGAGGGGAAGGAUCACCUCCUUGGACCUGCUCAUGCAUCUGUGGAUGCAUGACAAGGUGGGGUUAGCCUUCCUGACCGUGUCCCCACAUUGGCGGCCCAUGUUCAUUUUGGAAUCAAUAAUGAUACCAAGAUUCUUUUCUGCCUCUGUGCUGACUAGAAGGGAGUUCCCCAGCCUGUAGGUGUGCUGCUGGUUCUUCCUCCCCAGGUACAGUACCUUGCACUUGUCAGUACUGAAUCCCAUCCUGUUCUCAUCUGCCCACCCCUGUAACCUGUCUAGAUUUAGUUGCAGCCUGUCCCUCUCCUCCUGCAUGCCCACUUCUCCCCACAAUUUAGUGUCAUCCGCGAAUUUGAACAAGGUGCUUUUCAUCCUCUUGUCCAGGUCACUGAUGAAGAUGUUGAACAGUAUGGGCCCGAGGACCGAGCCCUGGGGAACUGCACUGCCCAAAUCCCUCCAGGUCAAAAAAGACCCAUCCACCACCACUCUCUAGGUGCAGCCCUCCAGCCAAUUUGUGACCCAUCUGACUGUGUAGGCAUCAACGUCACAGUCACCUAAUUUCUUAAUGACAAUGGGGUGAAAGCCAGUGUCAAAGGCCUUCCUAAAGUCCAGAAAGACUAUGUCCACCGCGACACCUAUGUCCAAGGAUUUUGUGACCUGGUCAUAGAAGGUCAUCAGGUUGGUCUGGCAGGAUUUGCUCUAAUGAACCCAUGCUGGUUGCCCCUAAGCAUGAUCUCCCCUGCUGGUCCCACCCCCUUCCCUACCCCCAGGCUUAGUUGGCUAACAUUGUAUUUUCUGUAACCUAGUUGCAUUCCCCUCCUCACCUCCAUCCCUCUUAUGUUAGUCUCUUGCUUGGGAGCUCUGUAUUUCUGUACUGGCUUUUUGUCAUCUUUUUGGUUCAUAACUGUUAACACCUACUAAUAAAAUUAAUUCUGCCCAGGUAAACAUGUGCUAAGUAUUAACAUUGCUGUUAAAUACACAUAUGAAUUUUCCAGUCCACAUAUGAGUUUUCCAGUCUAAGACCUUAUGUAACCAGAAAUCAGUUCUGAUUCUGCAGCAGUAUAGAAUUUUGUUUUGCAUGAUUUUAAUUAAAGAUAAAGCCAUAUAACAUUUACUGAAAUGAAAAUGGGGUUAAAGAAAAAAAAUGUGUGUACUUUGCAACCUCUGGAGAACUUGUCUAUUUCAAACCAGUUUGGAAGUAGUUGAACGUAUAUUAAUAUUCUUUAUUUGAAUCUAGUUUUCAUUUGAUCCCCUGCUUUACUGUUUCUAAAAGAAGAGUAUAUUUAGUUUAUAAAGGAAGAUAAGUAUGUUUACUUGCAGACAAGAAUGGCUUCUGUUUAUCAGCUAGAGAUCCCUAUGGAAUCUACCACAACCUCUGCUAAUGUGGAAAAUAUUGCUGUGUUUGCAGAAAUUCAGAAAUACAUUAUAUGUUUUUUUUCUUCAAAAGAGGCACAGGCUUUCCCCCCCAAUUUUUACAACAUUUUGUUACUCUUACAGCUUUAAUUUUAUACUGUUGCUCAUAGCCUAAGAGUUGCUAGAGGAGUUGCCAGUAACAAAAAAAAUGUUGAUGCCUGAUUCAAAAUGUAUUGGGCCUAGUAUCAGGCUGUUUCACCAUUCAGUAUGCACAAUGCACCCGGUUUUCAAAAAUGGAUGUCUUAAUAGGCUAUCCAGAUCUCACCUUUAGAUAUUCAGAAGAGUAUUUGGCACAUUCAUCAUAGGAAAAAUGUCUAUAUGAUUGAAGAGAUUUGAGUUUUAGAUAUAUUUUUAAGGGGCUACAACAAAAACCUAAGUAGAAUAAAGAUACCUGAAUCCAAAAUUGCAAUUCUGACAACCCCACUUCACUGCUGCCUAACCCCACAGCAAAUAAGUUCAAUAUAUAGCUCUGGUUUUGACAGGAAAUUGCCCCCGCUACCUAUAGUCCCCCUUCCCCCCCAAUACCUAUAGUUCUGUUUUUGCAUGCACACAGAAAUAUUUCAAUCGUGACUGAGCUUAGCAGCUCAUCUUCCAUCUCAAAGCUAAGACCCAUAUGCUGGGUGUUCCUUCAUCCAUCCCACCCAAGAGGCGUGAUUCAGAGUGUACUUAUCAGAUUGGUCCCCACAAAAUGCAAGGCUGUUGAAGCUUUCUUUUGAAAGAGUGGUGAUGGAACCCUUUUAUCCAAUAAUGCACUAGAUGGGGUUCUUGCUUCAUGGGAAAUCCAUGCUUGCUUCCUUUCUCUACCAAAAGAACAUUUCCCAUUUCCAUGAAGAAUGCACUAACUAUACAAUAUAGGCUACUCUGGGGUGAUGGCACUAUCGACUCAUCUACUUCAUAGAAGUGAGCCAGAGAGAAGAGAGAGGGAAUGAUUCUUAGUCUAGUGGUACCAGUAGGGGGUUGGGCUCAAGUCUCUGUUCCCAUGAUUACAUAUACUUUUCAUCCAAUGACUAUAUCAAGUAAAACAUGUAAACAGUCCUUGAAACAGUGACUAGAACACAGUGAUACCUCUUCAAGGGAAAUCCCUGAACCACCAGGCUAUCAAGUCAUGUUACAUUUGUUCUUUUGCUCAAUGAAUUUUGUAUGUUUUAUGAAACGUGGAACUCUCUUGAGAGGUAGAAUAAAGAGAAAUGAAUUAAUUGA